ACUGCGAUGACGAAGGAAGCACCACCUGUAAAAACUUGUGUCUCGCCCUCGCAACAGCAACCAAAGCUAAGGGUCCUGAGAUAUUGUGCAAUCGCCUAAAUAAUGCUGAAGAACUUAAGUUAUCAGCAUUUUAUAAAAUAUGCGAAAAGCCUUGGACAUAUGCCGAUAUGACGGCAGAUGAAGCUCUUUGUUGCCAAGAUUCUAAAGUGAAAAUUUGUGCUUCAGCUGAGCGUGGAACAACUGCCAGCGGAAUUAAAGAAGAAUAGAAUUCGGAUCCAUGCUUAGUUGUAAAAAGAAUAUAUGUAUUAUAUACAAUUAGCUACAUACCUAAUUAUGCCAUAAAAAUUGUGAAAAUAUAAGGACAUGUAAAUUGUUCAC